rnacentral:rRNA from 1 species
GACGAACGCUGGCGGCGUGCUUAACACAUGCAAGUCGAACGGAAAGGCCCUGCUUUUGUGGGGUGCUCGAGUGGCGAACGGGUGAGUAACACGUGAGUAACCUGCCCUUGACUUUGGGAUAACUUCAGGAAACUGGGGCUAAUACCGGAUAGGAGCUCCUGCUGCAUGGUGGGGGUUGGAAAGUUUCGGCGGUUGGGGAUGGACUCGCGGCUUAUCAGCUUGUUGGUGGGGUAGUGGCUUACCAAGGCUUUGACGGGUAGCCGGCCUGAGAGGGUGACCGGCGACAUGGGGACUGAGAUACGGACCAGACUCCUACGGGAGGCAGCAGUGGGGAAUAUUGCACAAUGGGCGGAAGCCUGAUGCAGCAACGCCGCGUGCGGGAUGACGGCCUUCGGGUUGUAAACCGCUUUCGCCUGUGACGAAGCGUGAGUGACGGUAAUGGGUAAAGAAGCACCGGCUAACUACGUG